rnacentral:rRNA from 1 species
UACGUAGGGUGCGAGCGUUGUCCGGAAUUAUUGGGCGUAAAGAGCUCGUAGGCGGUCUGUCGCGUCUGCUGUGAAAUCCCGAGGCUCAACCUCGGGCUUGCAGUGGGUACGGGCAGGCUAGAGUGCGGUAGGGGAGAAUGGAACUCCUGGUGUAGCGGUGGAAUGCGCAGAUAUCAGGAAGAACACCGAUGGCGAAGGCAGCUCGCUGGGACGGUACUGACGCUGAGACGCGAAAGCGUGGGGAGCAAACAGG